UUCCUCUCUCUACCUUUGUGAAAUCAGAGCCUUCUAAGAAACCUGUCCUCCCGGCAGACCCAAACUCCCCUCUCAUAGAUCUUCUCUCUGACAGGCCCGGCUAAAACGGAGGAGGCAGAGCCGCCGGCCAGAUCAGUUGCCGGGCCACAGUCUGAUAAGGGUUUCUCCCCUGUCGCAGGGAGGUUGCGCAAUAAGCGCGAGGUGAUGCCAGAUUCAACCUCCCAGGCUUUCCCACUUAGACAGGGAACCGGUGGCCAGACCCAAUACUGGCCGUUUUCAACAGCUGACAUUUACAAUUGGAAACAACACAACCCUUCUUUCUCCAAAGAUCCGGUGGCACUCACCGACCUAAUAGAAUCUGUUUUACUUACCCACCAGCCUACUUGGGAUGACUGCCAACAGCUCUUACAGGCCCUCUUAACCUCAGAAAAAAAACAAAGAGUGUUCCUAGAGGCCAGAAAGCAUGUUCUGGGAGAUGAUGGGCGUCCCACCCAGCUGCCUGAGGACCAAACUGAGAUUUUAAUACAGCUGAAGGUAAGGGACACCUACGCCUUUAUCGCCAGUUGCUUCUAGCGGGUCUCCGAGGGGCUAUACAACGCCCUACUAAUUUGGCUCAGGUAAAACAGGUAUUACAGGAAACAGGAGAAACUCCCUCCGCCUUUCUAGAGAGACUUAAGGAGGCCUACCAUAUGUACACUCCCUAUGACCCAGAUGACCCAGGACAAAUGACGAGUGUCUCUAUGUCCUUCAUCUGGCAGGCUGCUCCAGAUAUCAGGACUAAGUUACAGAGGUUAGAAAAUUUACAGGGCUAUACAUUACAGGAUUUACUUAAAGAAGCUAAAAAGAUUUUUAAUAAGAGAAAAAAAUUGAGUCGAAUCUUGGCCGCCGUAGUUCAGGGCCAAGAAAGGAAGGGAGAUAGGGGGGAGCUCGAAAGGGGCUGAAGCUGGAUAAAGAUCAAUGUGCCUAUUACAAAGAGAAAGGGCACUGGGCCAGAGAGUGCCCCAAGAAGCCUGGCGGACCCCGAAAGCCUCGACCACGAACCUCCCUCUUGGCUCUAGAUAAAGAUUAGGGAGGUCAGGGCCAGGAGCCCCCCCCCGCCCUGAGCCCAGGGUAACGCUUAAAGUUGGGGGACAGCCGGUUACUUUCCUGGUAGACACAGGAGCCCAGCAUUCAGUCCUCACCCAAGCUUCAGGACAACUCAGCGACCGGACGGCCUGGGUACAAAGAGCUACUGGUGAGAAACAAUACCGAUGGACUACGGACCGCCGGGUUCAGCUGGCUACUGGUAAGGUGACCCAUUCCUUCUUACAUGUUCCGGACUGCCCGUACCCUCUGCUGGGCCGUGACCUGCUCACCAAACUAAAAGCACAAAUUCAUUUUGAGGAAGGAGGGGCCCGAAUAACUGGCCCCCACGGAACUCCCCUUCAAGUUCUAUGAAUAUAGACUAUAUGAACCGGGACAGGACAAGCCACAAUCCCUAGAAAUAGACACUUGGGUCACGAAUUUUCCACUGGCUUGGGCAGAGACUGGUGGGAUGGGGUUGGCGCUCCAACAGCCCCCCUUAAUUACACAGUUAAAGGCCACUACAACUCCAGUCUCCAUAAAACAAUACCCCCUGUCACAUGAAGCUUAUCAAGGUAUAAGGCCUCACAUUACGAGGCUUCUAGAUCAAGGCAUCCUAAUCCCCUGCCGGUCGCCUUGGAAUACGCCUCUUCUGCCUGUUAAGAAACCCGGCACUAGAGAUUAUAGGCCAGUACAAGACUUGAGAAAGGUCAACAAGAGGAUAGAAGAUAUUCAUCCAACUGUUCCAAACCCUUACAAUUUGCUCAGUAACUGUUCAUCGAUGAGAAACAGGGGUAUGCUAAAGGGGUCCUAACACAAAGGUUGGGACCCUGAAAACGCCCUGUGGCCUACCUGUCUAAGAAAUUGGACCCUGUGGCCUCCGGCUGGCCACCGUGCCUAAAGAUGGUGGCUGCUAUUGCUGUCCUGAUCAAGGACGCUGGAAAAUUGACUUUGGGACAGCCACUCACCAUCCUAGCACCCCACGCAGUGGAGGCCUUGGUAAAGCAGCCCCCAGACCGCUGGCUCUCUAAUUCUCACACCAAGCCUUGUUACUGGAUGCAGAACGGGUUCAGUUUGGGCCUGUAGUUGCCCUCAAUCCUGCCACCUUGCUUCCUCUACCAGAGGAGGCAGAACAGCAUGACUGCCUACAAAUCCUCACAGAAGUACAUGGAACCAGGCCGGACCUAUCGGACCAGCCUCUUCAGAAUGCUGACCACACAUGGUACACGGAUGACAACAGCUUCUUGGCAGAGGGAGAACAAAAGGCUGGAGCUGCGGUCACUACGGAGGACAAAGUGAUUUGGGCGAAAGCCCUGCCUGCUGGUACCUCCGCACAACGGGCUGAACUCAUCGCCUUGACUCAGGCGCUCAAGAUGACAAAAGGUAAGAGGCUAAAUAUAUAUAUAUACAGACAGCCGUUAUGCCUUUGCCACGGCACACAUCCACGGGGAGAUCUACCAGAGGCGGGGGCUGCUCACAUCUGAGGGUAAAGAUAUGGCUAAAAUUCUGGCCCUCUUAGAAGCCCUAUUCUUGCCCAAAAGACUGAGUAUUAUACAUUGUCCAGGACACCAAAAAGGGCACAACCCAGAGGCACGAAGAAACCGGCUGGCUGAUGCCACGGCGCGAGAAGCAGCCAUGAGCAAACAAAUCUUGACCUUAAAUAGCCCAGACCAACCCACGCCCCCACCAGUGGGACAAACCAGUUGGGUUUAUGCCCAUGAGGACAUAGAGCUCCUAGAAAAAAAAAUGGGGGCCAUCUACCACCCUCAACUAAAACAGUGGGUCUACAAAGGAAAGACAGUUAUGCCAAUAAAAAUGACUUUUAAAUUGAUCUCCUUUUUACAUAAAUUAACCCAUUUGGGGUUUAAGAAGAUAAAAACCUUACUAGAUAGGGAAGAGAUAAAUCUGUGUUUUUUUUUGAAUCGGGACAAAGCGAUACAAAAGGUAACUGAGAGUUACAAAGCGUGCGCUCAGGUUAACCCGGGAAAGACCAUGAUUGGACAAGGAGUUUGUCCUAGGGGACACCGUCCCGACAUCCAUUGGGAAAUUGAUUUUACUGAAAUUAAACCAGGUAUAUAUGGAUACAAGUAUCUCCUAGUGUUUAUAGACACCUUCUCAGGAUGGGUCGAAGCCUUCCCCACAAAACACGAGACUACAAAAAUGGUCACCAAGAAGCUCCUCGAGGAAAUCUUUCCCAGCCCUUCUCUGAGGGCCCAUUUACAGGCCCUACAGAUUGUGCAGAGAGACGUCUGGAGACCUUUGGCCGCUGCUUACCAGGACAAGCUUGAGCAUCCGGUGGUGCCACACCCGUUCCAGAUUGGAGACACCGUGUGGGUGCACAGACACCAGACCAAGAAUCUCGAGCCACGGUGAAAAGGACCCUACACCGUCCUCCUGACUACCCCGACCGCCCUAAAGGUAGACGGAGUCUCGGCUUAGAUCCACACACCACACGUCAAGGCAGUCCGGUCUGAGGAAUUGACUAAUCACAACACUACACCCCAGACAUGGAGAGUUCAGCGCACUCCAAACCCCUUAAAGUUAAAACUCCUACGUGGCUCCUCCUAGCCCUUUUGUGGCCUAGAGUCAGUGGGGGAAUAAGCCCCCACCAGACAGAAAUUUCUUGACCAAGU